UGUCAAGGGAUGGGAAUUGAACCCACGACCUUCAGCUUACCGGGCAGAUGCCAUGACCACUAGGCUACCCUGGAC
rnacentral:tRNA from 1 species